rnacentral:rRNA from 1 species
UACGUAGGCAGCGAGCGUUGUUCGGAGUUACUGGGCGUAAAGGGGGUGUAGGCGGUUGUUUAAGUUUGGUGUGAAAUCUCCCGGCUCAACUGGGAGGGUGCGCCGAAUACUGAAUGACUUCGAGUGCGGGAGAGGAAAGUGGAAUUCCUGGUGUAGCGGUGAAAUGCGUAGAUAUCAGGAGGAACACCAGUGGCGAAGGCGGCUUUCUGGGUCCGCCCUGACGCUGAGGCGCGAAAGCGUGGGGAGCGAACGGG